AUGAGGCCAACUUAUGCCAUCCCUCUCUGUUCAAACACUCAGCUCCUGACCCAUCAUGGCAUGACAGCCUUCUUCCCUUUUAAUAUAUCUCGGAACUUAUGUACUUAUGAAGACAGCUGUGUAGGUAAGAUGUGCCCUCAGUGGUGUUCACAAGACAGGAGAGGCACAGAUGGAAGAAAAUCUAAGGACCAUUGCAGACCACUCUCCAGAGGGGGCUCCUGCGUAAAGACAGUCUGCCCACCGCAAGACGUCAGCUUUUACACACACUCCCCAUUGACGACCAGCUCCCCAGAGGCCAAGCCCCUGGACUCUGGAAAACUGCAUGCGCCAUCCCCCCGCCAGGUGCUGCGUGCUCAGACUUCUACCUCUGCAGAACCCCAAGGCUGUGUGAACCCGAAGUUUCAUAAUAAUGAAUAAUGAUAAUGUGGGCUUCGUGCCAGCUGAGUACACUGAAGGUGACCCUGACAUUUGGAAGGCAGAAUCCUUUCCCUGCUACCAGGUGAGACAAUUCGGACUGAAGAGUCAGCUGUGACCCGUAAGUCAUCGCUUUUGGAUGGGCACCUCCUGGGGGAUCCACCUAUUCCCAACUUGAACCGCAUCUCUGGCCCUGGAAGUGCCACUAGCAAGAUGCUGCUGGGCUCGGCCAGGGCUUCAGCACCCUCUUGUGGCCAUUCUCUCUAAUGACAAGCCAGAGACCUGCCUCCUGCCUCCUGAACAGAGUUCCUGGAUGGACGGCACUGGGCUUGUGCACCCAAUAGUCAGUUUAAUCCCUCCUCUCACCCUAAGAACCACCAAGUGUAUUCCAGGAGGGUUAUUUUUCUCUCCAAAUCAGCCCUGGCCCUCACUCCUCCCAAACAUUCCUCACUCCUCUAAGUCACUGAGACGAACCCAGUACAAAACCAGGUGACCAGACCUCAGUGGAUCAGCCUCCCAUCUUCAUUUUUGGGACUUGGUUUGAGGUAAGAUUUUCUGCCUCAGGGGUGAACCUGAGGAGGGGAGAGGCUGAGAUGGAAGGAAAAGAAGAAACUUUUCAGAGAACCUUCAAGAGAUGAGUCUUGGAGUUCCUGUCAUGGCUCAGUGGCUAACGAAUCCGACUAGGAACCAUGAGGUUGCAGGUUCGAUUCCUGGCCUUGCUCAGUGGGUUAAGGAUCCGGUGUUGCCGUGAGCUGUGGUGUAGGUUGCAGAUGCAGCUCAGAUCCUGUGUUGCGGUGGCUCUGGCAUAGGCCUGUGGCUACAGCUCCGAUUGGACCCCUAGCCUGGGAACCUCCAUAUGCUGUGAGAAGUGGCAAAAGACAAAAAAAAAAAAAGAGAGAGAGAGAGAGAUGAGUCUCUGGGACAGACACAGCAUGCGGGGAGAGCAAGGAACCACUGCUUUUGCACUUUCCAUUCACGACCCCUCACCAGCUGUCCAGGGGACGAACACCAUGCAAGCCUGAUCCAGGAACACUGCAAGCCCAAUAUACAACCCCGCACCACUGAGGUUCAGAUGUCCAACACUGCCGAAACUAAAGGCAGGCAGAACCCUUGAGAGCCUGACCAAUUAUCUGGAUUUUAGGCUCCCUGAGGGAAGGGUAGGACAAGCUCCUUCCUAUAAGCUGAGUUAAUUUAAAUCUGAGAUUCACAGGGGACCCAUAACCUAGCCCUCAUCCUGAGGCCUGUCUGGUGAAUCCAACAGCAGCAACUCAAACCUGACCUCUGCAGCGGGAGAUGCCAAUGCCAAGCAGCUGCUGGGCCCUGUCAGUGCUCUGUCGCCCUCUGGUGGCCAAUCUCUCAAAUAACAACUCAGAGCCCUUCCUCCUGCCUCCUGACCAAAGCCAUGGAUGCGCCACACUCGUCUGGUUCACCUGAUGGCCAAACUCCCUCCUACUCUCACUCUAAGUACAACCAUGUGCCUUACAGAGGCCAGAGGUGGCUCCCAAAGUCUCCCAGGACUCUCCCUCCUCCUAGCCCACCGAGACCACUACCCUACAACCACCAGCAGAUCCCACGUCAAGUCAGCUCACCAGUUGGAAAUUUGUAAGCCUGCCUUAAUACUUGUGGCCUAGUUCUCACUGUGGUUUUUUCCUUGUGGGUAACUUAGAAGAAGUCACAGCUCAGGUCGAAAUGAAAAAAAAGAAUUCUAGGGAUAAAUUUGAGACAUAGAUCCUGGGCAGCAGCACGUCCUGCCCAGACAAAAAAGCCACUUCUACACACACCAUUCAGGCCCACAAGCACAGCUUUCCAUAUGCCAAACCCAACAAAAGACCCCUUCCACUAAAUGGACAUGUCCAUGACUCAAACCAAAAGCCUGUGCAUUCACGGUUAUAUUGCUGGGGACGCCAAGGGCUUUCAGAUCCCCC
rnacentral:lncRNA from 1 species